rnacentral:lncRNA from 1 species
AAAUGUUCAAGGCCUUGGUUAUGAUAAUCAAGUUGUGAUGAACAUAGGAAAAGGGUUUGCAAUGAAUUUUGUUCAACCUAAAAGAAAACAGGAACAAAAUAUAUCAAAUCAAAUGUCCCAACAUCAGCAAAGACACCAGGAUGAUUACUCAGGAUGCAAGACCCAACUAUGGAAGUUUCAUCAUUAUGGGAGGUUUGGUCACAUAAAACCUUACUGCCACAAACUAUAUGGCUAUCCCAAACCUGCUUCACAGCCCAGAAGAAAAUAGACUAUUG